rnacentral:rRNA from 1 species
AGCGUUAUGGACCCACCUGAUCCCAUGCCGAACUCAGUAGUGAAACGUAAUAGCGCCGAUGGUAGUGUGGGGUCUCCCCAUGUGAGAGUAGGACAUCGCCAGGC